UACGUAGGUGGCAAGCGUUGUCCGGAUUUACUGGGCGUAAAGAGCGCGCAGGCGGUCGGCCAAGUCGAGUGUGAAAGCCCCCGGCUCAACUGGGGAGGGUCAUUCGAUACUGGUCGACUCGAAGGCAGGAGAGGGAAGCGGAAUUCCCGGUGUAGUGGUGAAAUUCGUAGAUAUCGGGAGGAACACCGGUGGCGAAGGCGGCGAUCUGGGUCGAUACUGACGCUGAGGUGCGAAAGCGUGGGGAGCAAACAGG
rnacentral:rRNA from 1 species